rnacentral:lncRNA from 1 species
UUCCUUCAACUCUGAUUUUAUUGAAAAACAGCAGCAUUGGGGGCCAUGCAGGCUGGCACACACCCACUUGGGCCCAGCCUGUCUCCUGGGGACUCGGCUUGUCACCUGGCCCUCGGGGCUGCUUUGGCACAUCCCGGGGCCAAAGGACACCCGCCCUGUCCUGGGCUCACAGUACAGCUUAGGAACACACCACGGCAGUGAGACCCACCAAGACGUGGCCCCUGCCCCAACCAAAGCAGGGCAGGUCUGUUCAUGGGGCCUCCUGCCUCUGCCCUGCCUCGGCCAAGAGGGAGGUGGACUGCGGCUGACCACCUAUCUGGCACCCAGCAGGGCUGGGGUACACACAUAGAGCCGGCCCGGCCCGGGCCCGGGACCCUGCUUCUCACCACAGAGCGCCUCCCAGAGCAGGAAGCCCUGCCCACGCCCUCCCCAUCGCAACACCUGCACACACUCACAUGUGCGCACACACUCCAUCCACAUGGACAGCUGUUUACAGGCACACACGCAGUGCUCACCCACAGGCACACAGGCUCACACGUGCAGCACUUGUACACACACACGUGCACACACACUCGUAUGCAGGUGUCCACACGCAGGCAGUGUGCACAGAUGCUCAGACACACGCAUACUCACGGGCACACAUCCACAGACGCUCACACAGCUGCACUACACAGCCACGCACGCACACAUGUGGGUACACCCCUUCCCUUAAAAUGGCUAAUUAUUGCUGUUUAAAAAAUACAUCCAAAGAUGGUAAGUCAGGGCUCAGCCUCCACCCCAGCCCGGGCAGCUCUGGCAAGCUGUGCUGCCCAUGGACGCCGCACCAUGGGGCAGUUCAUUCCAGGGCCAGCCCUGAACUCAACCCUGACAGCCUGAGCCCAAGGCCAGGCCCGGCACACACACCAGCACACACCCACCGACAGGCAGGGGCAGCCCCGGCUGCCCCUCAGGCACUGACAGGGAGAUGGGCCCACAGGUGCCCACACAUUCCCGCCAGGCUGGGAGCCACCUACAGCCCAAGAAGCCCACAUACCAGCAAAGCCCAGACAGCCCUGGCCACACACGCAGGCCCCGAAGCCAGCUCCAGGGAGAGCAUGGGCUCAGGCCACCCAGGACAGGCAAGGGCAGGUGGCACAGGCGGCACAGGCAAUAAGCCUCUCAAAGCCAGGCCCGGGCUCAGAGCACCCCUGGCAAGGGGACCUGGCAAAGGCCGGGAAGCUCUUCUCCCCCUCUAGGGCCUGUGAAUGCCCAUCGCUCUGAGAAAGGACCCAGAGCAGGCCAGGGGCCACGCAGGGCCCUCAAGGUCUCUGGGCUGCUAUCCACUCCCUCAGCCCCACCAUCUGCACACAUCUCAGCCACUGGGCACUGAAGUAGAUGUAGGACUGGGAGAGGCUGCCAUGGACACAAGAGCUCAACCUCCCUGCACUCGGGCCAACCACAGAUGGCCUCAGUACAGGUGUGCCAACCUCCUGGCCACCCACCCCAGGGGGCUGACUGUCUGCAUGGAUGCAGGACCCACAGGGGAGCUGCCAGGGGACACCUAGCAGCUGUUCCCCAGGCUCAGCAAACACUGAUGGCCUGGACACUGCCCCAGCAUCCACCCUCCCGCUCCACAGAGGCCUGCAAACAAACAACAGAAACCCUGGGCCCCCAGGCUGGGCUCCCUAGACUUUGUCAGGCCACAAAGCGGUGAGAGACCCAGGGGAGGGAGCAGUGGGCUGGCAAACCUCAGAGGAACCACACCAAACACCGGCAGUGAGCCCAGAAGGGCCUCCAUGGAGGUAGAAGACACAGCAGUUUCCACAAACGUAUAAAAUUUGUGUCAGUGCACAACUGCGGAGCAAUUAAGCGCUCAAGCUGGGGGACAUGGAGGGCUGGGGUGGGCAGGGGCACCAGCCACACCCAGCCUGUAGCUCCAAGGGACAGGAGGUCUGCCUGCCAGCCUGGCGAGGGCUGAAGCCCACCCUGCCAACCCUGCUCCUGGCAUCUUAGCCAAAUCCCAGCAGCGACAGAAGGGUGCCAAAAGACAGUUGAGAGCCCAGCAAGUGUCCCUCCUCGACCCAUGGCCCGCAUGGCUGGCAAGAGAUCUCUUGGGGCAGAGGCAGCUUAGGCCAGGAAGGCCUCUGAGCCCAGCAAUGGGGCUGCCAAGAGCCAGCCCCAGGUCAGCUUAAGGGCUCUGAAGGCACAGGGAGUGAAGCCUUGCUGGCUGGAGCUGCCCACCAACCAGACACUGCCACUUACAGCGGCCUUGCCCCGGCCCAGGGCCUAAGACUGGCCAGCAGCCCCAACGGCCCCCAGCAACUAAGACCAGCCCAAGCCAACACCAAACCAAACAGAAAAAGAAGGCACAACUGUUUGUUUUCCAUUUUGCUAAAACACUUUACGUCUGUCUGUAUAAUCCAGAUUAACAAAAUCUGAGAGCUGCAAGAAAAUAGGGUGCCAAUUUCUGUACAGUCUACAAAACUCCCACCCCCAAAGGGGACCGGGCGCCACCAGGGAGGAAUGUACAGGGGGAUAGCGGGGUCUGUACAGUGCUCUGCAAGUGCCUCAACUGCUAACAGAACAAAAAGGCCCCUGGAGUGAGGGCUGGGCUGCCAAUCCAUUCCCUCCUGAAGAGCCUAAGAGCAUAUUCUCGGUGUCAGGGUCCCAGCUCUGUGGCCACCCUGCCUGCCAUUCCCCCAGUCCCUCAAGCUCCACACAAGGGGUCUGGGUGGCCCUCCCAUAUAAGACUAGGCACAGGCUCAGUUGACCAGUGGUCACUUCCAGCCCUACCAUCCCUCUCCCUGCCCAGCCACCCUCAAGUCAGCUGAGCUGGCCACGGCGAGAUAGCAGGUCCUGCUCACCUUCCCUUGGCAGUGCCCAACUCCCCUCCAGGACUAUGGGAUGGGCCCUGUCCCCUCAGUCCUGCAGACCAGGGCUGGAAGGGGCAGCCUGCAGCUUCCUCACAAGCCAGGAAUGUUUUUGCAGAGGGAUUACACUAGGUCAGGGUCUCCCCAGAUCUCACUAUGAAGCCCUCCACCCACCCCCAUCAAACGGGGCCAGAAACAGUGCAUAUGCUAGCACCACACGGACGUGUGUGUCUGAAGGUACAAACUACCAUUUUGUCCCAAGAAUUAAAGUCAUGCAGAGUGCUAUUCUGUCUAAGUAACUUAUUAGAAAACGGGUCAGUUUCAGGCUGGGAGAAGCUGUGGCUGGGCAUCACCGGCAGCAGCCUGGGCUAGUAAGAUUCACAGGGUGGACCCCGGCAGACAGCUGAGGCAGGGGGCCACAGGUAGCUGGGAGGGGUCGCCUGAUCUAGUAGGCACUGGGGAACAGGUGUCCCCCUGGGCCCCCGCCAUGAUGUAAGACAGGUCACUACAGGAACCACACCUGGGUGCUGCACCAAGUCAGCCAAGCCCAGGCACAGGAUGCAGGGACCAGGAGAGAGGUGACAUGGUAUCAAAGCAAAGCAGGAGUGGGUGCAGGGUGGGCGGGCCCAGGCCAGCCCCCUGGAGUGCACACAGGCCUGGGUCCUGGGUCCGGUCUGGGAAGGGCAGCAGGGCAGGGGGCUGUGGCAUGCGGCAUGCGGCAGACAGCCACGUCCUCAGCAUGCACAGAGCAGCAUGGGGCCUGAAGCCACCUCAGCCUCCCUAAGGGCAGCGGCCAGCCAGCCUGGGCCACAUUUCAGGGACAAUGGCCGGGGCCACAGCCUGGCCAGGGGGCUGGAGUCUGCUCCUGGAGGAUUUGGGCAGAGCUUCUGUGCUUAAUGAGAUGAGGCCUUCCGGACAGAGGCAGGUGGCAGCUUGGUGGGUAGUCUGAGGGUCCACAACUCCGCUUCCCAAGGCUGGGGGGGAGGCCAUGGCUGCAGACCCCACCCACUGCCCUGUCUCAGAUGAGCAACAGCCCCACACACCCAGGAACAGCCAGAUAACCACGUGAUGUUGAAGGAGAAAGCCCAACACAAGCGCCAAGGUGAGCGUCUGGAAGCAGGGCCGCACCAGGCGGCAGGCGGGUGGGUGGGCAGGUGGGUGGGCACAGGUGUAGGGGGCGGAUGGGGGCGGUGGGCGGGCAGUGACCCUCACUCCUCACGAAGCUGCAGGCGAUAAGCGGUGGUAGCGGACCUGGAAGAAGAGGCGCUCGGCCAGCGAGAGGGUCAUGCCAGGUAGCACGUAAUGGUCACUUGCGCCCAUAUGUCUGAAGCCCAGUGACUCAUAGAGCUUGUGGGCAGCCACCUUGACAGCUGUGGUCCCCAACACCACCGCAGAGUAGUUGUGCACAACCGCAAACUCCAGCACCUUCCGGCCCAGCGCCUUGGCGAUGCCCCUUGCCAUGAAGCGGGAGUCCACAGACAUGCGUAGCAGCUCCCGUGUUGUCCUCCUCGUGGGCGUGCAGCCACAAUGCCCACCGCGUUACCGUCCAGCACAGCCACCCAAAAGGAGGAGCCUGUGGG